CGACUCAGACGACACCAAACUGCAAAUUUGGAGAAGAACUUCGGUUCCUGGGUCU
rnacentral:tRNA from 1 species